UACGAAGGGUGCAAGCGUUACUCGGAAUUACUGGGCGUAAAGGGCGCGUAGGCGGCUUAUCAAGUCAGGCGUGAAAUUCCCGGGCUCAACCUGGGGGCUGCGCUUGAUACUGAUGAGCUUGAAUGCGGGAGAGGAUAGUGGAAUUCCCAGUGUAGAGGUGAAAUUCGUAGAUAUUGGGAAGAACACCGGUGGCGAAGGCGGCUAUCUGGCCCGUAAUUGACGCUGAGGCGCGAAAGCGUGGGGAGCAAACAGG
rnacentral:rRNA from 1 species